GCACUGCUGGGGGUGGCAGAUGGGAGGUGGGCAGCAGGGGGAGGCGGCAGAGCCCAGCUCUGUGGCCCAGUCCUGAGGAUUCAGACAGGGACACCCUGUGCUUUUCAGCUGGUCACGUACACCUGUGACCCGAGUAUGUCUUCGGGUGAGCGGGAUUGUUUCUAUAACAAGGAAAUUUCUUCCUCCACUCCCAGCAUGCCAAAUGUCCUCACACAUGUGAGCUUUACGCUGUGUGUCCAGAAACUAAUGACAGUGGUCUCCUGCAAGGCCACUACGACGUUCCCUCUGGCAUAUGACCGGUUCAGUCUAUAGCUUUUCAAUACUUGAUGGGAGCUCCUAAAGCAAAGGAAAUUUGGCUGUGGGAUCUGAU
rnacentral:lncRNA from 1 species